GCCGGAUUAGCUCAGCUGGUAGAGCAUCUGAUUUGUAAUCAGAGGGUCGUUGGUUCAAGUCCGACAUCCGGCACCA
rnacentral:tRNA from 3 species